GACGAACGCUGGCGGCGUGCUUAACACAUGCAAGUCGAACGGAAAGGCCCUGCUUUUGUGGGGUGCUCGAGUGGCGAACGGGUGAGUAACACGUGAGUAUCCUGCCCUUGACUUUGGGAUAACUUCAGGAAACUGGGGCUAAUACCGGAUAGGAGCUCCUGCUGCAUGGUGGGGGUUGGAAAGUUUCGGCGGUUGGGGAUGGACUCGCGGCUUAUCAGCUUGUUGGUGGGGUAGUGACUUACCAAGGCUUUGACGGGUAGCCGGCCUGAGAGGGUGACCGGCCACAUUGGGACUGAGAUACGGCCCAGACUCCUACGGGAGGCAGCAGUGGGGAAUAUUGCACAAUGGGCGGAAGCCUGAUGCAGCAACGCCGCGUGCGGGAUGACGGCCUUCGGGUUGUAAACCGCUUUCGCCUGUGACGAAGCGUGAGUGACGGUAAUGGGUAAAGAAGCACCGGCUAACUACGUG
rnacentral:rRNA from 1 species